rnacentral:rRNA from 1 species
UACGUAGGGCGCGAGCGUUGUCCGGAUUUAUUGGGCGUAAAGCGCACGUAGGCGGCUUAGCAAGUCCCAUGUGAAAGCCCACGGCUUAACCGUGGAAGUGCAUGGGAAACUGCUGAGCUUGAGUACUUAAGAGGAUCGCGGAAUUCCCGGUGUAGAGGUGAAAUUCGUAGAUAUCAGGAGGAACACCGGUGGCGAAGGCGGGUCUCUGGGCCGAAAUUGACGCUGAGGAGCGAAAGCGUGGGGAGCAAACAGG